rnacentral:rRNA from 1 species
GCUGUGAGCUCGAUGAGUAGGGCGGGACACGUGGUAUCCUGUCUGAAUAUGGGGGGACCAUCCUCCAAGGCUAAAUACUCCUGACUGACCGAUAGUGAACCAGUACCGUGAGGGAAAGGCGAAAAGAACCCCGGCGAGGGGAGUGAAAAAGAACCUGAAACCGUGUACGUACAAGCAGUGGGAGCACAGGUUUACCUGUGUGACUGCGUACCUUUUGUAUAAUGGGUCAGCGACUUAUAUUCUGUAGCAAGGUUAACCGUAUAGGGGAGCCGUAGGGAAACCGAGUCUUAACCGGGCGUUAAGUUGCAGGGUAUAGACCCGAAACCCGGUGAUCUAGCCAUGGGCAGGUUGAAGGUUGGGUAACACUAACUGGAGGACCGAACCGACUAAUGUUGAAAAAUUAGCGGAUGACCUGUGGCUGGGGGU